rnacentral:rRNA from 1 species
UACGUAGGGUGCAAGCGUUAAUCGGAAUUACUGGGCGUAAAGCGUGCGCAGGCGGUUCGGAAAGAAAGGUGUGAAAUCCCAGGGCUUAACCUUGGAACUGCACUUUUAACUACCGGGCUAGAGUACGUCAGAGGGGGGUGAGAAUUCCACGUGUAGCAGUGAAAUGCGUAGAGAUGUGGAGGAAUACCGAUGGCGAAGGCAGCCCCUGGGAUGAUGACUGACGCUCAUGCACGAAAGCGUGGGGAGCAAACA